GAUGAACGCUGGCGGCGUGCCUAAUACAUGCAAGUCGAGCGAACGGACGAGAAGCUUGCUUCUCUGAUGUUAGCGGCGGACGGGUGAGUAACACGUGGAUAACCUACCUAUAAGACUGGGAUAACUUCGGGAAACCGUAGCUAAUACCGGAUAAUAUUUUGAACCGCAUGGUUCAAAAGUGAAAGACGGUCUUGCUGUCACUUAUAGAUGGAUCCGCGCUGCAUUAGCUAGUUGGUAAGGUAACGGCUUACCAAGGCAACGAAGCAUAGCCGACCUGAGAGGGUGAUCGGCCACACUGGAACUGAGACACGGUCCAGACUCCUACGGGAGGCAGCAGUAGGGAAUCUUCCGCAAUGGGCGAAAGCCUGACGGAGCAACGCCGCGUGAGUGAUGAAGGUCUUCGGAUCGUAAAACUCUGUUAUUAGGGAAGAACAUAUGUGUAAGUAACUGUGCACAUCUUGACGGUACCUAAUCAGAAAGCCACGGCUAACUACGUG
rnacentral:rRNA from 1 species